rnacentral:rRNA from 1 species
AUACGUAGGUGGCAAGCGUUGUCCGGAUUUACUGGGUGUAAAGGGCGUGUAGGCGGAGAUGCAAGUCAGGAGUGAAAUCUAGGGGCUCAACCCCUAAACUGCUUUUGAAACUGUAUCCCUUGAGUAUCGGAGAGGCAGGCGGAAUUCCUAGUGUAGCGGUGAAAUGCGUAGGUAUUAGGAGGAACACCAGUGGCGAAGGCGGCCUGCUGGACGACAACUGACGCUGAGGCGCGAAAGCGUGGAGAGCAAACAGGAUUAGAUACCCUGGUAGUCCACGCUGUAAACGAUGAAUACUAGGUGUGGGGGGACUGACCCCCUCCGUGCCGCAGGUAACACAAUAAGUAUUCCACCUGGGGAGUACGAUCGCAAGAUUGAAACUCAAAUGAAUGGACGGGG